rnacentral:lncRNA from 1 species
CGGCGCGGAGCUCGGGGAAGGCUCGUUGGCUUGCUGGCAGCCACCUCUUUCUUUUACUUGGCCGGGGCUGCGGCGACGCUGGGUUCGAACAGCGGCGGGUUCAUACUUGUCAGCAGAUUAGGAGGAGACUCUGGGUUCGUACGCCGACUGAGGCUUCUCCUUGAUGGGCUCCGGGCCCCGAAGUCUGGGGGCAGUACGGGGCCGGGGACAUGCAGGAAAGGGCCCUGGACCACUACAAAGCCGCAAAGAAAAAUUAGACUUGUUUCAUUUUAUAACAACAACAACUGCUACUACUGCUACUAGUUAGAUACCGUUUGCUCAUUUAUAACAAUCUCAGUUGGUAGG